GGGGGAUAACACCUGGAAACAGAUGCUAAUACCGCAUAACAACUUGGACCGCAUGGUCCGAGCUUGAAAGAUGGCUUCGGCUAUCACUUUUGGAUGGUCCCGCGGCGUAUUAGCUAGAUGGUGGGGUAACGGCUCACCAUGGCAAUGAUACGUAGCCGACCUGAGAGGGUAAUCGGCCACAUUGGGACUGAGACACGGCCCAAACUCCUACGGGAGGCAGCAGUAGGGAAUCUUCCACAAUGGACGAAAGUCUGAUGGAGCAACGCCGCGUGAGUGAAGAAGGGUUUCGGCUCGUAAAACUCUGUUGUUAAAGAAGAACAUAUCUGAGAGUAACUGUUCAGGUAUUGACGGUAUUUAACCAGAAAGCCACGGCUAACUACGUGCCAGCAGCCGCGGUAAUACGUAGGUGGCAAGCGUUGUCCGGAUUUAUUGGGCGUAAAGCGAGCGCAGGCGGUUUUUUAAGUCUGAUGUGAAAGCCUUCGGCUCAACCGAAGAAGUGCAUCGGAAACUGGGAAACUUGAGUGCAGAAGAGGACAGUGGAACUCCAUGUGUAGCGGUGAAAUGCGUAGAUAUAUGGAAGAACACCAGUGGCGAAGGCGGCUGUCUGGUCUGUAACUGACGCUGAGGCUCGAAAGUAUGGGUAGCAAACAGGAUUAGAUACCCUGGUAGUCCAUACCGUAAACGAUGAAUGCUAAGUGUUGGAGGGUUUCCGCCCUUCAGUGCUGCAGCUAACGCAUUAAGCAUUCCGCCUGGGGAGUACGGCCGCAAGGCUGAAACUCAAAGGAAUUGACGGGGGCCCGCACAAGCGGUGGAGCAUGUGGUUUAAUUCGAAGCUACGCGAAGAACCUUACCAGGUCUUGACAUACUAUGCAAAUCUAAGAGAUUAGACGUUCCCUUCGGGGACAUGGAUACAGGUGGUGCAUGGUUGUCGUCAGCUCGUGUCGUGAGAUGUUGGGUUAAGUCCCGCAACGAGCGCAACCCUUAUUAUCAGUUGCCAGCAUUAAGUUGGGCACUCUGGUGAGACUGCCGGUGACAAACCGGAGGAAGGUGGGGAUGACGUCAAAUCAUCAUGCCCCUUAUGACCUGGGCUACACACGUGCUACAAUGGAUGGUACAACGAGUUGCGAACUCGCGAGAGUAAGCUAAUCUCUUAAAGCCAUUCUCAGUUCGGAUUGUAGGCUGCAACUCGCCUACAUGAAGUCGGAAUCGCUAGUAAUCGCGGAUCAGCAUGCCGCGGUGAAUACGUUCCCGGGCCUUGUACACACCGCCCGUCACACCAUGAGAGUU
rnacentral:rRNA from 2 species